rnacentral:rRNA from 1 species
AUGCACCCCGAUGAGAAGGAAGCCGUCAUCGACGACCUCAUGGCGUUCCAGGAGAGCAAGGAAUACUAUGCCAAGGUCGGCAAGGCAUGGAAGCGCGGGUACCUCCUUUACGGACCGCCCAGCACUGGCAAGUCCACCAUGAUCGCUGCCAUGGCCAACUUCCUUGUCUACGACGUCUACGACCUCGAGCUCACGGCGGUCAAGAACAACACCGAGUUGCGGAAGCUCUUCAUCGAAACAACGGGCAAGUCCAUCAUCGUCAUAGAGGAUAUUGACUGCUCCGUCGACUUCAGAGGAAAACGCCGCAAGGACAAGAAGGCCUCAAGCGACAAGGACUCCGACAACGGUGACAAGCCCAAGCUACCGAUAGAGCCGGAGAAGGACGAUGCCACCAAGGUGACGCUCUCGGGGCUACUUAACUUCAUCGACGGGCUGUGGUCUGCUUGCGGAGGUGAGCGGAUCAUCAUCUUCACCACCAACCACAAGGAGAAGCUGAACCCGGCGCUGAUCCGGCGGGGCAGGAUGGACAAGCACAUCAAGAUGUCUUACUGCCGCUUUGAGGGCUUCAAGGUGCUAGCCAAGAACUACCUAGAUGUCAUUGAGCACGAGCGGUUUGGGGAAGUUCAGCGCCUGCUCGAGGAGACCGACAUGUUGCCCACUGACGUUGCAGAGAACCUGAUGGCAGUAGCGGAUCUAGCCCAAUGGGCCAGGGUGGAC